rnacentral:misc_RNA from 1 species
GGCUUAUUAUCAAGCUGACUGAUUGAUUCCCUUUCCAAAACCUUAUUUCUUCCUUUCUGCUGAGCUCCAAUGGCAACCUCCUCGCUGAAAUUCUCAUCACACGAGAAAUAUGAGAUCAGAAAGAAAAACCCAGACCCCAAAACCUCUGUUCUUUUGGUAAUUGACGUGCAAAACUAUUUUUCCUCAAUGGCCAAACCUAUCCUCCCUAAACUUCUCUCCACCAUCCACCUCUGCCGGCGAGCCUCCAUCCCUGUCAUCUUCACGC